rnacentral:rRNA from 1 species
CCUAAGAACAACCUCAACAGCGUUGUCCGAAAGGGAAACUGGUUAAUAUUCCAGUGCCAUGAAAGAUCGUUUGUACCUUGCUUGUCGCUUCAGGAUAGAGUAAGCAGAAUCGUCGUUCUGUCUAAUUAUUCGAAUCAGGGGGAGUACUGUAAUAGUGAGAACCUUGAUGAGAUGAGAAUGGCCUUCCGCAAGGAGGGUUUACUUGAAUCCAGGAGACACUGAAAGCAAGUUAAGGGAGAUUCUUUUAUGUCCGUACCGAGAACCGACACUGGUGCCCUGGAUUAGUAAUCUAAGGUCUGUCGGGUAUACCGUAAGGCGAGGGAACUCGGCAAAAUAGCUCCGUAUCUAUGGUAUAAGGAGUGCCUGCAAUUUUUAUGAGGAAUAGGAACUGCAGGUCGCAGUGACUAGGGGGUCCCGACUGUUUAAUAAAAACACAGUUGGUCGCAAGUCCGAAAGGAUGUGUACGGCCUAUGUAUCCUGGCCAGUGACGGUACCUAAAACCUGGGUUCAACUGGGCUAAGGGCCGUUUAACGCCGGGAGUAACUCUGACUCUCUUAAGGUAGCCAAAUGCCUUGUCGGGUAAGUUCCGACGUGCAUGAAUGGAACAACGAGGGCCCCGCUGUCCCCGCCUACAACCCGGUGAAGCCACAUAAUGUGGACGAACAGUCCACAAACCUCUGUCGGGGAGAGAAGACCCUGUGGAGCUUUACUGCAGCCUGUUGUUGCGAUAUGAUGUCUAAUGCAGAGAGUAGUUGGGAGCCUUCGAAGCCAGUUCUCCGGGAUUGGUCGAGGCGAAAGUGUAACACCAGCCAUUGGUUAUCGUAUCGCUAACCCGUUCUCACGGGGACACCGGCAGGUGGGCAGUUUGGCUGGGGCGGCACCCCCUUGAAAAAAUAUCGAGGGGGCCCAAAGAUUGGCUCAGGCGGGACAGAACUCCGCCGGUGAGGGCAAAGCCACAAGCCAGUCUGACUGGAUCCCCAAUGAUACGGGAUUCAGAGGCGAAAGCCGGGCUUAGCGAUCCAUCAUGUCCUCACUAUUGGAGGCUGAUGGUGACAGAAAAGUUACCCUAGGGAUAACAGGCUCGUCGCGGGCGAGAGCUCCUAUCGACCCCGCGGUUUGGUACCUCGAUGUCGGCUCUUCCCAUCCUGGUUCUGCAGCAGGAGCCAAGGGUGGGGCUGCUCGCCCAUUAAAGGGGAACGUGAGCUGGGUUUAGACCGUCGUGAGACAGGUCGGUCUCUGCCUGACAGGGGCGUGGUUGUCUGAGGGGAAGUUGUCCCUAGUACGAGAGGAACAGGGCAACGCAGCCUCUGGUUUAUCAGCUGUCCGACAGGGCACGCUGAGCAGCUAAGCUGUUUUGGAUAACUCCUGAAAGCAUCUAAGG